rnacentral:lncRNA from 1 species
AAUAGUAGAUCAAGGCUCAAGGUAAGUACCUAGGUUGAAGGUGGCGACUGCUCUCUCUUUCUUGCUCGAUGCGAAUGAAUAGCCUACUUUCUUUCGUACCUACAAUAAUGGGAAUUUUCCAACUAACCUUUAGAUAAGGGAAUCAAUUUGCCUGCUUCUACACAUUUUCCUUAAGUGCUAGUUCUAUUUUUAUUAAAUUCUAGAAAAAUAGUUAGUUUUUUGAUCCCAUAAGAGGCAACUCAAUGGGAGCUACUAUAAAAUCUAAAUUUGGCUUUACUGCUUGAAAGCUUGAUUUUUUUUGUUUUAGCGUGACUUUUUUUUUGCUAAAAUAAAGGGAACGAAGAAAUGGAUGAUAAAAUUAGUGGGAGGGAAUGGAUGGAAGCUACUUGUAAGAAAAAAUGAUGUGGGUUAGGUGGAUGGGAAAAAAGUUUGAAAAGUUAAAACUUAAGAAGGUCAAGGUUAGAUAGACUUGAAGGCAGGAAGAAAUGAAAAACCUUAAAAAAAAUUACAUAUAUAUACAAUGAUAUUUUGAUAAAUAUCUUAGGUCGGGUUUCAUAUAAACCCGCCUCUGACUUAGCUCUACCAUUCAAAAAUAAAUAAAAUCGACCUGACUCAAUCUGAAACCUUUUUUUUAAAAAAAUCAAUCUUAUAAGUCAAGUUAAGUUAAAACCCAAUGAUUUUAGGUUGAUUUCUCAUCCCUAACGAGAUGGGGCUAAAAUCGUAUUUUUAGAUUUUAGACUUGUUUGUUGCAAUUAUGUGACUAGUUUUGUUGUUUUUUUUCUUUGACCUUAGAGUCUUCUACUAUAUGGCAGUGAUUAGUUGCUUGGGUGUAGUUCAUCACAUCCUUGUUUUGGAGGACUUGUUUUUUGUAAUGCCUUUAUGCUUAUUAAUGAAUCUACAAUACUAGCUUAACAAAAAAAAUAUUAAAUAAUUAUAAAAUAUCAAGUUUUCAUACAUUUAAUUUGAUUAUUUUAAUUAUAUUUAUAUUUAGAGAAUCAUUAAUUUAAGAAUUAAUAUCACACUUUGUAAUCUCUUUUGUUUUUUUCAUAGUGAAAAUUUUCAGCAAUUAUAAGGUGUCAUAACAUAUAGAUUAGUAGACCUAUCACUAGACACAACUUAAAAGAGUUACCAUUAAUCUUUUUUGUUUAGGUGUGAUGGCCAUCUAACUGAAUUUGUCUCAUUUUAAAAAGAUGUCUCAAGUUUGACUUAGGUAUCUUUAAAUGAUAAAUUCUAGUCUAUGAAAUCAAAUUUAAGUCCAAAUGUACGGUUACUUAUGAGGAAUGUUAUAGCACCUUUACAGCACCAACCUAAAUGACGGUACCAGUUUAAUUUCAAGUUAUCCAAGCCUUAAAAAAUUAUUACAAUUCACCAAAUAAUUUAAUUAUUAAAAAUUAAUUUUAAAAUUAAUCCAAUAAUUUGGUAGUAAUUUGGCUUUUGGGGACUAAAAAAGUUUUUUUUUAAGUGUAUCUAAAGCUUUCAGAAUCUUCACAUCCAAUCAUGUAUCAGUGGAAAAGGUAAAAUGCCUAAAACCCAUUUUCCUUAUUUGAUCUCUUCCUUGACCUGGUUUCUAAUUUAUGAAAUUUUUUAUUCUUUUGUAGAAUUUCUUGAAGUUCAAUUUGCAAGUCCUUAAACCUUAAACAAAUAACAUUAAAAAAUAAAAAAUCUAUGAGCCAGAAAGAGAAAAGGUCUAAUCAUGAAUGAACGAAGCUUUUAGUGAGUGGUGACCCCUUUCUUUUAGAUAAAACUUUUACAAUAGAAGCUAUUAGAUUAAUAGAAGCAAUAGAUCUUUCAAAGAGGGACUAAAAUCUUGACAAAACAAAGGCAAUUUUGCAUAUGAAGAAAUAAUGGAUGAAAGCCCAAGGUAAAUAUCUAGGUUAAAGGUGGUGACUAAUCUUUUUCUUGUUCAUUCCUUUUAAUACCCAUGAUAAUAGGAAUUUUCCAACUGACCUUCAGAGAUGGGAAUCAACUUGCCUGCUUCUACGCGUUUUCCUUAAGCGCUAGUUCUGCUUUCACUGGAUUCUAGAAAGGCAGUUAGUUCUUUGACCCCAGGAGAGGCAACUCAAUAGGAGCUGCUAUAGAAUCCGAAUCUGGCUUUGCUGCUUUCAAGCUUGACUUUCUUCUUUCUGGCGUGACUGCUUUCUUUGC